rnacentral:rRNA from 1 species
CCUACGGGCGGCAGCAGUGGGGAAUAUUGCACAAUGGAGGAAAGCCUGAUGCAGCAACGCCGCGUGAGUGAUGACGGCCUUCGGGUUGGAAAGCUCUGUUUUUAGGGACGUUAAUGACGGUACGUGAGGCGGUAGCCAUGUCCAACUACGUGCCAGCAGGCGCGGUAAUAUGUAGGUGGCGAGCGUUGUCCGGAUUUACUGGGCGUUAAGGGAGCGUAGGCGGACUGUUAAGUGAGUUGUGAAAUACUUGGGCUCAACCUGAUUGGUGCAUUUCAAACUGGAAGUCUAGAGUACAGGAGAGGAGAGUGGAAUUCGUGGUGUAGCGGUGAAAUGCGUAGAGAUUAGGAAGAACACCGGUGGCGAAGGCGAUUCUCUGGACUGUAACUGACGCUGAGGCUCGAAAGCGUGGGGAGCAAACAGGAUUAGAUACCCGUGUAGUC